rnacentral:lncRNA from 1 species
GUCUGAUUGGACGAGAUCCCAAACUGGGCGGGGUCUGAGCUGGGGGGGCGGGGCCGAAUUAGAUAAUACCGCAAAUCGGGCGUGGCUGGACAGAUGGGCGGGGCUUAAAAGAGCGGUGUCUGAUUGGACGUUGCUGCAAACUGGGCGUGGCCCGACGGGGGGGGGGGGCUUAACGGGGCGGGGCCUGAUUGGACGUUAGCGCAAACUGGGCGUGGCUGGACUAAUGGGCUGGUCCCGAUCGGGGGAGGGGCCUGAUUGGACACUGCCGCAAAGUGGGCGGGGCCAAAACGGAGGGGCGGGGCGGGGCAUAAUCGGGGCGGGGCGCGAUUGGGCGUUAAUCAAAGUGGGCGGGGCCAAAGCGCGCGGGGGGGCGGGGCCGGAUUGGACAUUGCGGCAAAGUGGGGCGGGGCCUGUCAUGGGCGUGGCUUGAGAGGGCGUGGCCUGAUUGGAUGUUGCCUGAAGGGGGCGGGGCCUGAAGGGGUCCUGCACACCACCAUUACAGCCCAGUGCCACCAGUACCGCCAGUAUCACCAGUGCCACCAGUAUGACCAGUACAACCCAGUACAGCCCAGUGCCACCAGUGCCACCAGUAUCACCAGUACAACCCAUACCACCAGUGCUCCCAGUAUCACCAGUACCACCAGUGCUCCCAGUGCCACCAGUGCUCCCAGUAUCACCAGUAUCACCACCAGUAUCCCCAUUGCCACCAGUGCCACCAGUACAGCCCAGUACAACCCAGUGCCACCAUACAACCCAGUGCUCCCAGUAUCACCAGUGCCACCAGUAUGACCAGUACAACCCAGUACAGCCCAGUGCCACCAGUAUCACCAGUGCUCCCAGUAUCACCAGUACCACCACCAGUAUGACCAGUACAACCCAGUACGGCCCAGUACCACCAGUAUGACCAGUGCUCCCAGUACCACCAGUGCUCCCAGUAUCACCAGUACCUCCAGGAUGACCAGUACAACCCAGUACAACCCAGUGCCACCAGUACCACCAGUAUCACCAGUAUGACCAGUAUCACCAGUGCUCCCAGUGUCUCCAGAGCUCCCAGUACCACCAGUAUCACCAGUAUGACCAGUACAACCCAGUGCCUCCAGUGCUCCCAGUACAACCAGUACCACCAGUG